AGAUUUGUGAACAAUAUUUGAGAGAAAUAGGCCUUUUGUGUACUUUGAGAAAGUCUUAUAUCUUUGAGUUCAGCUCAUGAUGAAUGGGGGCAAAAACAAAAGUGUUGCAUUUAUAAUUUUGUUUCAGUGUAUUUCACUGUUCCUUCAGUCAAAAUGCAGGUUUAGUCUCUGUUGAGCCCCUGGAAAAGCCCUCAUAGAGUAAAAAAGCUUUGUCCACAAGAUUUUAUUUUAUUCAGCUCACAGAUGAACUUCUUCAGAUACAGAGAAGUUUCACUGCAACUUUCUAAUUUUCAUCUUGUUUGGAGUAGAACAAGCAAGGAUUUUAGCUAGUGUAGGGACGAAAUAAUAUAUAACCAAAGUUGGUAGCCCCUUACCAGUUACCAUCUAGAUAAAGUUGAUCUUCAGCUUCAAUAAACAACUUUAAAGUGUUUAAAUUUGAUUAACUGAUAAAAAUACAGGUCCAGCAGUUCCCUGUGAGUUUAAGUGUAAGCUUAGAUCAUUGUUCUUUAUGAUUGCACUUUAGUCAAGAUUAAAUCUAUAUCAGAAUGACAUUUUAAUUCUUGUUGAGUGUCUCUUCAGACUGAGCAGCUGUAACCUCCUCAGCUCCCAGUCCUCUAGUCUGAGAGACCUAGACCUGAGUAAUAACCUGCAGGAUUCAGGAAUGAAGCUGCUGUCUGCUGUGCUGGAACUUCCACACUGGAUACUGAACACUCUCAGGGUGAAGCCUAGUAGAGUCCGAUGGAUGAGACCAGGUCUGAGGAAGUAUUCCUGUGAACUCGCACUCGACACAAACACACA